AAAGGGCAAUGAUGUGUAAAACUACCUAUUUUAUGAGGGAACGAAUUAUUUUCCCUUAUGAUUAGAAAACACCAAUGGAUCCUUCUGAUGCCUCAA
rfam:Jatropha curcas cultivar GZQX0401 scaffold392_6, whole genome shotgun sequence.